CCGAGAUGAUGCACAAGGCUGAGGUUCUAGGAGCUGUGCAUGUUGAAAGAGCUGCAUGCUGAGGAAGAGUUGCAAAGUGAAGUGGGGCAUAGGCUCUGUGGGUUUUGCUUUGAUGGAGUGGUCUUGGCAAGAGAUCCUGUGAAUGGUGCCGCACCCCCUUAAUCCCAGCGCUUGGGAAGCAGAAGCAGAUCUGUGACUUCAAGGCCAGCCUGGUCUACAGCAUGAGUUCCAGCCAAGCAAAAGCUACAUGGUGAGACCCUGUCUUGGGGGAGAAGGGUGAUGUCAUACAUACAGUGUUUCGUUUACUGCUGGCCAUGGUUUUCAAAGCAGUGAGAGAAUCAUUUCUCCAAAACACAGAGAGUAAGAGAGGCCAUGCAUUUGAAGACUUCCUACGUGAAAGGAGGAAAGGAAGCGACUCUUUGUUACACUUAGAUUAGAGAACCUUUGGGAGAGGAGAGGUCCCCUGUCACGGAGAGUCAUGUGUGCUUCGUGGCAGUUCUAGUUCCAGGUGUCUGAUAAUUCAGCACAGCAAAGAGAAAAAACUCUCUACUAAAAAGAGAUAUCCAGUAAAAGACAGUGUCGUUGGGAGGAAACAAUUCCAACAGUUGCUGAGGUGGAGAAAAACAUUCUCCAUAAAAAAAGAGUUUGCACUCAGGAGUUGAGAAGGUCCACCCCAGCCUUUCCUAAAAACUUUGUUCCACAGAGGCACCCCUAGCCCAGUUAGUGUGGCCUCUAGAGUUGGUACAGGACACUUCUCUGACCUGGGUGAGAGGAGAUCUGGGAUAGCUUCCUGAAGACGCAUGGUAGCAAGCUGACAAGGAUAUCAACAGGUGGAGAAGUAAGAGACAAGGAAGGCCACUGGGGAUGAAAGACCAGCUCCCUGGUCAAGGAACAAGACAUGAAUAAGACUUGGGAGACCACGGUGUCUCUUGUAACCUGCGGCAUAUCCUGUUUCCUGCAUUCCUCAUGUGACCAUCAGGGCCCUGGCUUCUUGGCCUUCUCUGUGGUGGGUAUCAUAUAAGCUCCUCUCUGACUCAUCUCUUCGUGAAAACUUCAGGCCUGUCAAAGGUUUCAUUUCUUUUCCAGACCAGAAAUCACCUGUCCAUAACAGAAUCUGUCUACCAUCACCAUCUUUUCAGUUGACAAGAAAGUCAAUGGAGCAAUUUUAGACAGACAAGCCACCCAGUGCCACCAUCAGAAUGUCAGGUUUGCAACCUGUAAAACGCAAAUGCCCACUUCUUCACCAGCCCCCAAGCCCCUCCACACUCCACCUCUGGCUCAGUUUGUCUUUGGGGGACUAGCUCACUGUGGGACCUAAUUAAUGAGUUCUUCUCUGUCAGAGUACAACCACUCCAGCCCUUGUGCUAUCCAGGUAGCUCUCCUCUGUUGAGUCAAUGCUUGCCUUGAGUUCACUCAGAUUUCAACAUUGGCUACACUGUCUCGAAGAUCUGACAUCUUUAUUCAGACAUGAGUCAAUCAUGAAGAGGGGAUGGAAACAGAAGUCCUUCCAGGAAGAAAACUAUCUGGAUAGAAAUUGUUCCAUUUGAUGACUGCAGUAGAAGAUGAGGCUCGGAGAGCCUGGGCAGGGAAACAGGAGGAGAAGGAGGGGAGGAGACCAGAGAAGUAGUGAAUACUUUAUCCUCUAACCUUCCCUUUCCUUUCUCCCCUUUCUCUCCAUGCAGUAGGCAAAAUCCUCAUUGUUUCCUGUAGUCUGUGACAUCUUGGGGUCAUUGGGGGACCAAGUUCUUUGAUGUGUCUUGAAGUGAUGUAGCCAAGAAGAAACAGUGAGUUUGAGUCCCAGCAACCACACUGUGGCUCACAACCACCUAUAAUGAGAUCUGGUGCCCUCUUCUGGCCUGCAUAUGUACCUUCCAGAGACCAUGCAGAGUUAGGAUUUGGACUAAGUGCAGUCAGAUUGGCCAGGGAUGGGUCCCAGCUGGCUCUUCGGUUACACACACUUGUGUCUUCUGUAAGUGUUUCCACUGACACACAGAAGAACUAAACAGACUGAUUAUCUGUGAUAUGCAAUGCACCAUGCAGAGUGCAUUAAAUACACAUGUAUCUAUCUCCUUUUAAUCAAACACUGGCUGUCAGUGUGGAGCAUGGUGCAGUGUAUGGGAAGGCUGAGCAGGAGGAUUUGCAAAGUGUUUGUGGUCACAUGGCUGGGAAGCAGAGGGAGCAUACCUAGAAACAGAGGUCUCAAUUCAUCCUUGUAACCUGUAUCUCUGACAAUGGAGAAUUGCCUGUGUGUAGACCAAGGCUCCCUCUAGGGUAGGAGACAUUGCAGAAUACCAGCUUUGGCCCUGAAGCUCUCCUCCAAACUCCCUACUGGAGCUUCUUCCCUCAGCUCUGUCUCUGUGUCUUGCUCUUUGCCUUAACUUCUCUUAAUAAAACCUGUGGGGACCCUCAGGAUCAUGGUGUCUGGGGCAGGAAGGUGCGAGAGCAUGUUUACCACUGUCAUGAAAAAAAAAUGGAGUAAAGAACUGAGCUUGGGGGUUCUUUCUCCAAGCAGUUUCUGGAUAUCAGUGUACAUGACAAUGGUUAAUAGCUUAUAAAAGAUGGAAGGGUAGUUACCAACAGUGCAUGGCAAGAAGUUUAGCUGGCUUAGUUAAGGCGCAUUCUGGAGCUGUGGGUCUCUUCCAGGGUGACACUAUCAUUUAGACGGGUAUAAAUAAACAGCAAAGGGGAAAACUUCCCAGAGACAAGUCUGGAACUUUCCAGAGCUUCUUGAAUUUAUGUGGAAUCCACAGGUCAUGGGGACACCAUACUCCUGGGGCAUACCAGGGCCUUUGUUAGCAUGGACCAAGGCAAAGAGCAAGACUCAGAGACAAUGUUGGAGGAAAGAGCUGCAAUAGGGAGUUGGGGGAGAGCCGCAGGGCACAAGGGAAAGUUCAGCUCUGUACCACAGAGAGGUGUAAAAAGCAAAGAUCUCAAAGAAAUGAGCCCAACAAUUAAAAAAUAACCAAUUUCAUCAUAGAUGAUGGGGGUAGCAAUUCCCUGGGUGAGAUCUGCAAACCAAACUAUUUUCAAGACUGAGGAGCCAACUGAGUCUGGCUCCCAGCCAGCUCAGCUCUUUGUGGGUCCAGCAGCUGUCCCCUCUUCCCCACGCCCCAAAAUGUUGUGGAUAGAGCUCCACAUGGGGGGCUUCUCGAGGUGGGGAUGACUCAGAUUGAUCUUGCUUUCUUUCUAGUCCCUUACUGUACUACAGCAGACACCAGACACAGCCUCCUUGUAACCCAUCAAGUGGGACCAAGACUUCCUUGGGAUUCAUGAACUCAUUGAAAAAGCUGCACACGCAAUGAAGGAGAACAUAAAGCAGAAGGAGAGGUUUAUUCUGUACCGGAAUGGCUAUAUCCCUGGGCUGGGGAGCCUUCUGUGAGCUGACCUACAGCAGCAGCUGCUCUGUGGAGUGUAAACUGAAAAGCAAUGCCACUUUUCUGAGUGAGAAGCAGAUGAUCCCAGAUAAUGCAGCUCUCUCCCUUCAUGAAAGAAGCUUCUGUUUCCAGUUUCUUGAGAGAAUUUUACAGAGAAUCACAACUAGCCAAAGGACAGAGAGUAAGUGAUAGUGGAGUGCUUAGGCCCCAAUGGGACAUCUGUAAUACAGCAUCUAUACCCACGAUUCAGGGAUCAUCACAGAAGAGAGGCCAAAAGGAUUGUGCGAGCCGGAGAACCAGGACAGUUGCCAUGAGAUAGUGUCUCCUAAACACAAUAUGGUUAUCUGCACAAGAUCAAACCAGUCGACAUGGGAACAUAAUGGUGGAGGUGUGACAAGGUCUCAGCCCUCACUAAAGAACUAAAGUCAAUCAAUAGCAACUGAGGGAGAGAAGGUAGUUCUCUCCAGAGAGAAGAUCUGAUUGAUACCCAAGCCCUGAGAUGAGCCCUUUACCCAUGUAAAUGCAAGAAACACUAACUUGACUCUGUGUGUGUGUGUGUGUGUGUGUGUGUGUGUGUGUGUGUGUGCGCACGUGUGCACGCACAUGCGUGUGUGCACAUACACACUAUAGCAAACAGAGGUUUUGGGAUACUCAGGAGGAGUUGGAGAGGUUAGGGGUAAGGAAAGAAAUGAUGUAACUACAGUGUAGCUAGGUAUGGAAUUCUCAAACACCUUUUUAGUGUGGCAUACCCAUACAAUAGAAUGUUACUCAACAAUGAAAACAGAACAAAGAGCUAAGAGAUAUGACAACACAGGCAGACCCUCAGAAAACUAUGCUAUAAGAAGGAAGCAAAUCACAAAGUCUGCGACUCCGCCUGCAUUCUGUCUAGAAGACAAAGUCCAUACAAGUAGAAAGCAUACUAGCAAUUCCAGGGAAAUGGUGGAGAAUGACGGCUAGUGGUUCAAGGUCUCCUUCUGGAAUAAUAAAAACAUCUGUGAUUGGCAGUGGUGAUGGCUGUACAAACCUGUGAAUAUAAAUUAAAAACAAAAACAUUGAAUUGUGAAUUUAAAAUGGUUUAUUGGGGGCAGGAGAGAAGGCUCGGCAGUUAAGAGCACUGGCUGCUCCUCCAGAGGUCUCACAUUCAAGUCCCAGCACCCACAUGGCAGCUCGCAGCUGUCUGUAACUACUGUUCCAGGAGUGAGAC
ensembl:lncRNA